AUCUAAAUAGUUUAAAAAAAAUAUUAGUUUGUGGUACUAAAGUUAUAAAUUUAUAUUUUAGAUU
rnacentral:tRNA from 1 species